AGCUUAAACUGCAAAGAGAGAAGAGAAAGCAUGAGAGAGACAGCAAAGAAAGUCAUCCAUCUCACUGACCUCAGAGAUGGAUAACCUGCUUCAUUCUUUACUGAAACUGUGGUGGCAGCAGCAUUGAGGAUGGAACUGGAGAAAGUAAUCUAUUUACCAAGGAAUCAUCAUGUUCCCUGCAGCUCCUCUUGCAGUGCUGCAAAUACUCCAGGAUCAUGCACCCUGUGCUUGCAAUGCUCAUGACAAUCGAUGCUUCUGCAGAGAUGGGGACAGCGGGGAGAGAUGCCUAGGUUUGUGCGAUUUUUGAGAUGCAGAAGAAAUUAUGGGAUGGAGAACGCUGCAUUAUGGGAUGUUGACCCCAUGCUUCCAGUAACCCCUGCAUGACUCAUUUCAGCCCCAUCAGAUAUUGAAAGAACUUUCCAAAAGAUGCUGUGCUGGAUCAUGAGUACAGUGAAGGCAAAGUGAAUCAUUGACAUCAUCAAUAAAGAAAAGGGCACAGUGUAGAGACUUUCAGUCAGGAUGACAACAGUGAAUCAACCCCCUCAUUCCAAAAGUACUCAUUCAGUACCCCUACAGUGUGAUCCAGGGUACUUGGUUUCAGAAGGUUACCA